GCUCAGGAUGAACGCUAGCGGCAGGCUUAACACAUGCAAGUCGAGGGGUAACGCGAGGUAGCAAUACUUUGGCGACGACCGGCGCACGGGUGCGUAACGCGUAUGCAACCUACCUGUAACAGGGGGAUAACGGAGAGAAAUUUCCACUAAUACCCCAUAUUGUCAUUCAUUCGCAUGUUUGGGUGACGAAAGCUUCGGUGGUUACGGAUGGGCAUGCGUGACAUUAGCUAGUUGGUAAGGUAACGGCUUACCAAGGCGACGAUGUCUAGGGGAGCUGAGAGGCUUAUCCCCACACUGGUACUGAGACACGGACCAGACUCCUACGGGAGGCAGCAGUGAGGAAUAUUGGUCAAUGGACGGAAGUCUGAACCAGCCAUGCCGCGUGGAGGAAGAAGGUCCUAUGGGUUGUAAACUCCUUUUGUUCGAGAGUAAUAAGAGGCUUGCGAGCCUCGAUGAGAGUAUCGGACGAAUAAGCAUCGGCUAACUCCGUGCC
rnacentral:rRNA from 1 species